UUCAACGAGUGCAACUUGCCAAUGGCACCGUGCGUUCGGUCUUGGAAUGGCCAGCUCGUAUUUUAGCAAUGUGGACGAAUAUGGAUUCGAAAGGCCUCAAAACUUUGACUACCAAACCUACGAGGAAUUCAUGUCAGAAUAUUUGAAGGUACUGGCUAAACGAGCUCAAAGAUGGGCUAGAAUAAUAGCUGCAGGAAAAUCUUUGCAACGAAGUAUCACUAUUAAACGAUAUGUGCGGAAGGGCAUUCCAGGAGUUUAUCGGGGCGCGGUGUGGAUGACUGUGAGCGGAGCUGAAGAAUUAAGAACCGCAUCUCCUGAAUUGUAUCAGAUAUUGCUGGAUGGACAACACAGGCGUGACGUAGCAGAGAUUAUAAAGACUGAUCUUCCUCGUACAUUUCCUGAUAACAUUUUUUAUAACAAUACCGAAAACCAACAGCAUCAAUUAUACAAUGUUUUGCUAGCAUUUGCACAUCAGAAUCAAACAGUCGGAUAUUGUCAAGGUCUCAAUUACAUAGCGGGAUUACUUUUGUUAGUCACAAAGAGUGAAGAAACUGCAUUUUGGUUGCUCAGAAUAUUGAUAGAAAAAACUUUACCAGAGUAUUAUACGCCUACCAUGGAUGGUCUCCUCACAGAUAUUGAAGUUUUAUCAGAACUAGUAAGGAUAAAAAUGCCAGAUGUACAUCAACACGUGACAAAUUUGGGAUUACCAUGGGCGGUAAUAACAACUAAGUGGUUUAUCUGUUUGUUUGCAGAGGUUCUGCCUAUUGAGACAACGUUGAGAAUAUGGGAUUGUCUAUUUUACGAAGGUAGCAAAAUAAUAUUUCGAGUUGCACUGACACUCAUUAAAAGAAAUCGAGAGAAUUUAUUAUCCUGUAGAGAUUUUACUGCAUUAGCCGAAUGUUUCAAGGAAAUUACCAGGGAUAGCAUCGUCGUUCAAUGUCACGAAUUUAUGCAGAGUAUUUUUAAAGUACCCGGAUCGCUGCCUGCAAGCACUAUAGCAAAAUUACGAACAAAGGCGAUACAGCAGCGAGCGGAAGAGAAUCAAACCAAAACAGUGCGGUAGUAUCAAUCCAGCAGAUCAUAAUAUGGCUUUCAUUCUAGUCAGAAUGGUACCAGAGCAUGGACUUUAUCAAUCCUACUUUCAUCGUGAUCCCAAUUUAAUGACUGCUAUUCAUUUUUUACAUUAAUGUGUGCCGUAUGUGUUUCAUCUAUAGCUGUACCAGGAUUUAGCAAAGCUGUCGUCGUAUGCUGAAAUCCCCACCCCUGAUUAUUCAAUCGUCACUAUUUUCUAUGCGUAAUUAUUUAUCUUUACAAUACACAUGAAACAUGUUUUACACAAAUAUAUAUAGACGAUAUAAUUUUUAUUUCAUCUAUAUGUAUACAUUCAUGCAUAGACUCCUAUGCAUGUGUUAUUGACUUUUCAAACUAAUCUACUUAUUUUUAUUCAAUUGGUUUUACGAUGAAUUUUUCAAACAAAUCAAGUCCCUUGAUAUCGUUAUACAGUUGUGUAAAAAAAAUAUAUAUUACACCACGCAGCGCCUCAUAAAUUUAGUAUUUUAACCCUAAUGAUUAUGUAAUUAUACGUAGCAAUAUUUUUAUUCGUCUUUAUUAGAUUUAUAGAAUCUAUUUAUUGCUCAAUUUAGCGACAAUGCAGGUUCCGACUGAUGAAGCGAUCCCAUUAAAGGUAUAUACGGAUUAUUGUCAUGAUUUUGAGUUUUUGUGGAUCUGGAGCUUUGAAUUUCAUAAAUUCUACCCAUUUAGGUAUUUUAAGUAAUGAUAUUCUCUUUUUCGUCCAUGGUGGAUUUCGAAUUACGAAAUACUCGCAGUCGAAAUCAGUGUGUAAUUAUUUUGUCAGAAAAAAAACAACUGACCCGCUUUUCAGUUAGAAUUUGCUAAGAAACUUGGAAAGACAGCGAAACGUGUAUUGGACAAAAAGCAUUAUAACACUACUAUAAUUUGUGUGAUUGUAUUUAUUUUCGUAAAAAUUUGCAUGUCGUUGUAAUUGUAAAUUAUAAGGACGGACAGGUGCUAAUUGCUCCCUCUGUGUGUAUAUCUUUUCGAUUUCUGUUACAUAUAGACAAAUCCAAUCAGUGUAAAUACAUUUAUUGAUUAUUUAUCUGUUAGUAUGAUGAGUUAUUUGAAUAUGAAUUAUGUAUCGUAUAAAAGUAUAAAAUGAAUGAGCUAAUGAUUGAAUAUUUACCAUCAGAUAUUAACCUACCACGUAAAGUAAAUUUAGAAAUUCUUCAUUGAACUACGACCAGGUGAUAAUGGCUCGAACCUUUAGAACUGAAGAACAGCUGAUCAAAUGGUGCUGCUAAGACCGUACGGAAGAAACUUGCAGGUUCCGUCAUAUCCAACACCCAGCACCAAGCUUAUAACAUUACAAUUUUGUUGGGUAAAUCCACAAUUUAUGGUAUGGUGAAAUCUUUAU
rnacentral:misc_RNA from 1 species